GGUUUUCUUCGACAUGGUCAAAUAUUCUAUUCUCUGAAAUUUCCUCUCCUCCAGCCCUGAGGCAUCGUUCCUUAAUCUUAUCCAUCUUUAAACUGAUUCCUGUAGCAGCUGAUAUUUGACAGCUUGUUUCAUCCUUCUCUCCUCUCUCCUUUGUUUCACCUAUGACAUCAUUCUCCUUAUUUUCCAUCUCUUCUGCGGCCUUAAAUUUUUCAUCUUUCUGUGUCUGCUUUUCAUUCUCUGGCAUCUUCUUCUCAGCUUGGUAUGGCCUAUCAACAGCCUGACAAAUUUCUUGUUUUCUGCUGGUUUCUUCGCCUGGAACUUUGGCAAUUGUGGGUGAUUCUAAAAAACUUCCACUUGCUGUCACUCCAGGUUUGCCUUCAAAGCCACUAACUAUAGUUUCAACAUUACUUGAUACUUCUAUUUUUGCUGAUUUUAAUAAGUCAUCAGCAGUUUCAGGAGGUUGGUUAAACUC
rnacentral:misc_RNA from 1 species